GACGAACGCUGACGGCGUGCCUAAUACAUGCAAGUUGAACGUGAACGGCUUCGGCCUAGUAAAGUAGCGUACGGGUGAGUAAUACGUAGGUAAUCUACCAAAAAGCCUGGAAUAACCGGCCGAAAGGCUGGCUAAUACCGGAUAGUGCGAAAGGUUCAGAUGAACUUUUCGGGAAAGGGAGCUCGCAAGAGCCCUCACUUUUUGAUGAGCCUGCGCCCCAUUAGCUAGUUGGUGAGGAAAGCUCACCAAGGCUGUGAUGGGUAGCUGGUCUAAGAGGAUGAUCAGCCACACUGGAACUGAAACACGGUCCAGACUCCUACGGGAGGCAGCAGUAGGGAAUAUUGCGCAAUGGACGAAAGUCUGACGCAGCAACGCCGUGUGAGUGAAGAAGGCC
rnacentral:rRNA from 1 species